rnacentral:rRNA from 1 species
CUUCGGUUCUGAUGUUCUAGCGGCGGACGGGUGAGUAACGCGUGAGCAAUCUGUCCCAUACAGGGGGAUAACAGCUGGAAACAGCUGCUAAUACCGCAUGAGACCACAACGUCACAUGACGAAGGGGUCAAAGGAGCAAUCCGGUAUGGGGUGAGCUCGCGUCCCAUUAGGUAGUUGGUGAGGUAACGGCCCACCAAGCCGACGAUGGGUAGCCGACCUGAGAGGGUGAUCGGCCACACUGGAACUGAGACACGGUCCAGACUCC